UAAACUUCAUUAAUGAACCUGGACCCUUACACACAAAACAAAGAGCAAAGAGUCUCCAGCACCCAGCUGUCUGUCUGUGAAGAGUGACUGGUCCAAGGGCAAAAUCUUAAACUUCAGUAAUGAACCUGGACCCUCACACACAAAACAGAGAUCAGAGUCUCCAGCACCCAGCUGUCUGUCUGUGAAGAGUGACUGGUCCAAGGGCAAAAUCUUAAACUUCAGUAAUGAACUUGGACCCUCACACACAAAGUAAGAGACAAUUUCUACUGUUGACUGACCUGAAGAUGAU